rnacentral:tRNA from 2 species
GCUGCCGUAGCUCAGUGGUAGAGCACUCCCUUGGUAAGGGAGAGGUCGACAGUUCGAUCCUGUCUGGCAGCACCA